GACGAACGCUGGCGGCGUGCUUAACACAUGCAAGUCGAACGGUAAGGCCCUUCGGGGUACACGAGUGGCGAACGGGUGAGUAACACGUGGGUGAUCUGCCCUGCACUUCGGGAUAAGCCUGGGAAACUGGGUCUGAUACCGGAUAGGACCCUGGGAUGCAUGUCCUGGGGUGGAAAGCUUUUGCGGUGUGGGAUGGGCCCGCGGCCUAUCAGCUUGUUGGUGGGGUGAUGGCCUACCAAGGCGACGACGGGUAGCCGGCCUGAGAGGGUGACCGGCCACACUGGGACUGAGAUACGGCCCAGAAUCCUACGGGAGGCAGCAGUGGGGAAUAUUGCACAAUGGGCGCAAGCCUGAUGCAGCGACGCCGCGUGAGGGAUGACGGCCUUCGGGUUGUAAACCUCUUUCAGCACCGACGAAGCGCAAGUGACGGUAGGUGCAGAAGAAGGACCGGCCAACUACGUGCCAGCCGCCGCAGUAA
rnacentral:rRNA from 1 species